GACGAACGCUGGCGGCGCGCCUAACACAUGCAAGUCGAACGAGAGAUGAGGAGCUCGCUCUUCAAAUCGAGUGGCGAACGGGUGAGUAACGCGUGAGGAACCUGCCUCAAAGAGGGGGACAACAGUUGGAAACGACUGCUAAUACCGCAUAAGCCCACGGCUCGGCAUCGAGCAGAGGGAAAAGGAGUGAUCCGCUUUGAGAUGGCCUCGCGUCCGAUUAGCUGGUUGGUGAGGUAACGGCCCACCAAGGCGACGAUCGGUAGCCGGACUGAGAGGUUGAACGGCCACAUUGGGACUGAGACACGGCCCAGACUCCUACGGGAGGCAGCAGUGGGGAAUAUUGCACAAUGGGGGAAACCCUGAUGCAGCGACGCCGCGUGGAGGAAGAAGGUCUUCGGAUUGUAAACUCCUGUUGUUGAGGAAGAUAAUGACGGUACUCAACAAGGAAGUGACGGCUAACUACGUGCCAGCAGCCGCCGUAACAC
rnacentral:rRNA from 1 species